CACAGCUACGUAGUGGCCAUGCUGGUUUGCAUCAGCAAUGUAUCCGAUGUCCCGUCGUGUGCUGGAGAACAUCAAAGGCAUUCCUGGAGGACCUCUCCCCUCUUCUCAGUGCCAGGCCUGAGCCAGUCAAAGCUCUGAUCCUUCUUUAUUGCUCACUGUACUGGCCAGACUCUCCAGUACAAUGCUGAAUAGAAGCAUGAGCACAGACAUCCCUAUCUCCUUCCCGGUCUUCGUGGGAACGCAUUCAUCUUUGACCCUUAAAUAUGUUAGCUGCAGUCAUCAUGAAAGUCUUAAAUAAGGAAUGGAGGUUGGAUUUCUUCAAAUGCUUAUUCUGCAUCUGACAGAGUCUUACUUUGUCACCCAGGCUGCAGUGCAGUGGCACGAUCUUGACUCAACUGAAACCUCUGCCUCCUGGGCUCAAGUGAUUCUCAUGCCUCAGCCUCCUCAUUAGCUGGAACUACAGGAGCUUGCCACCACACCCAGAUCAAUUUUGUAUUUUUAGUAGAGAAGUGGUUUCAUCAUGUUGGCCAGCCUGGUCUUGAACCCUUCAAGUGAUCUGCCUGCCUCAGCCUCCCAGAGUGCUGGGAUUACAGGCAUAAGCCACCAUGCCUGGCCUCAUUGUGGGUUUUUUAAUACGCAUUUUCCUCAUUACUAGUUGAGUUAAGCAUCUAAUUAUGUUCUUAGUAGCCAUUUGUAUUAUUUUGUGAAUUGUCUGAGUGCUUUUUUUUAAAAUGCCAAGAUCAUCAAAAGGACCUUAAAUAAAUAUUCACAGCCAAGAGAAACA
rnacentral:lncRNA from 13 species